UGAGGUGUUUGGAAUUAUGAAAUAAUAAGGAGCCAAAUGCGCAGAAUCAACAUCAUUAGUUCCAUUCCCUGUCCAUAAGGUCGCCACAAUCACGCUUAUUUAUUUUACCGCUGAGUCGUCACUCUUUUCCUCCUUUCUCUAUGGGGGGAUACUUGAAAGGAAAAAUUCAUUUUAAAUCAUUGUAGGAUUUGAAGGAAUGUUCACAGCGCCAUACCACAGAAUAAAUGCUGCUCAACUGAGUAUCAACCAUGAGGCUAUCCAAGUAUACAAUAAGAUUCCAGAACGAUUAAAAAUUAUGGACAAAAGGAAAAUGAAAAACGAGAUCAAAAAGAUACUUGCUCAAAAGGCCUACUACUCGAUGGAGGAAUACUGGAGUGAUCAGUUUUGGUAGUUCAUCUCAGGAAAUGUUGAAGAUGUUUGUAAUUCUGUAGAUUUCAUUGUUUGUUUUAUAUAUUUGAUUAAUUUUGUAUUUCUGACACCCCAUGUAAAUUUUGAUGGGUCGAAGUUGUUCACAGUAUCUGUAUUUAUAGUGUGAAUAAAUAUAUUAUUAUUCACUUGAA